CGACCGGCGCACGGGUGCGUAACGCGUAUGCAACCUACCUUUAACAGGGGGAUAACACUGAGAAAUUGGUACUAAUACCCCAUAAUAUCAUAGAAAGCAUCUUUUAUGGUUGAAAAUUCCGAUGGUUAGAGAUGGGCAUGCGUUGUAUUAGCUAGUUGGUGGGGUAACGGCUCACCAAGGCGACGAUACAUAGGGGGACUGAGAGGAAGGUCCCCCACAUUGGAACUGAGACACGGUCCAA
rnacentral:rRNA from 1 species